rnacentral:rRNA from 1 species
CAGCAGCCGCGGGAAUACGUAGGGUGCAAGCGUUAAUCGGAAUUACUGGGCGUAAAGCGUGCGCAGGCGGUUUGUUAAGACAGAUGUGAAAUCUCCGGGCUUAACCUGGGAACUGCAUUUGUGACUGGCAAGCUAGAGUAUGGCAGAGGGGGGUGGAAUUCCGCGUGUAGCAGUGAAAUGCGUAGAUAUGCGGAGGAACACCGAUGGCGAAGGCAGCCCCCUGGGCCAAUACUGACGCUCAUGCACGAGAGCGUGGGGAGCAAACAGGAUUAGAUACCCGCGUAGUCCCUGUCUCUUAUAC